UGCUGACAGCGUCAGUGGCGCUGGCGGCGCGGUCGGCAUGUCUGGGGCAUCCGAGGCGCGCUCUGCUUCGGGGCGUCUGCGGCGUGGUGGCGGCGUCCCAGGCGCAGAUGGAAUCGGCGGUGCAGUAGGUACAUCGAGAGCGUUAGCUGCGUCGGAGGCGCGGUCCGCGAGUCAGUGGCGUCCGUGGCGUCCAUGGCGUGACUGCACCGUCCGAGGUGUGUCGGCGGCCUCGUCCCAGGUGCGGAUGGCAUCGGCGGGGCGUCGGGAGUGUCGACGUCACGGUAAGCUGGUCGGGGGCAUCCACGUGUUGGGGACGUCCGCGGGGACGUCCGCGGCGCCGUCUGCAUAGGCGGCGUCUGCGGCAUGUCGGGGACUUCCGCGGCGUGGUCGGCGCCAUCAGCGGCGUCUCCGGUGCGGUGUCCAAGGCGCGGAUGGCAUUGGCGGCGCGGUUGGCACGUCCGGAGUGUCGGUGGCGCGGCAGGCUCGCGGCGUGGUCAGCGGGUCGGCAGCGUCCCAGGCGCUGACAGCGUCAGUGGCAACGGCGGCGCGGUCGGCUCGUAGGGGGCGUCAGCGGCGUCCGCGGCGUAGUCUGCCUGUCGGGGGCGUCCGCGGUGCGGUUGGCAUCAGCUGCAUCCAGAGGGUCUGCGGCGUCUGCACGUCGGGGGCGUCGGCGGCGAGGUCGGCGCGUCAGGGGCAUCUGUGGCGCGACGGCGGCGGCAUCCCAGGCGCAGAUGGCAUCAGCUGCGCGUCGGGAGUGUCGGCGACACGAUGGAGUCUUGAUUUUGUCGCCCAGGCUGGAGUACAGUGGCGCGAUCUCGGCUCACUUCAACCUCCACCUUCUGGGUUCAAGUAAUUCUCCUGCCUCAGCCUCCUGAGUAACUGGGAUUACAGGCUUCUGCCUAAUUUAUGUUCUCUUAGUAGAGACGGGGUUUUGCCAUGUUACCCAGGCUGGUCUUUAACUCCUAACCUCAGGUGAUCUGCCCUCCUCGGCCUCCCAAAGUGCUAGGAUUACAGGUGUGAGCCACCGUGCCUGGCGGCUUCCUUUACCUUCUUAAUAAACUUGCUUUCACUCUGCACUGCAUACUCGCCCUGAAUUCUUUCUUGUGUGAGAUCCAAGAACCCUCUCUUGGGGUCUGGGUUGGGACCCCUCUCCUGUAACAGGAUUACAGGCAUGAGCCACUGCACCCAGCCCAGAUGUUGUAUUUUAACUUUUUCUGGCCAUGUGACUUGCUUUUAAAUAAAACGUAAGAGAAGGUGACACGUCACUUCUGGGCAAAAGCUUAUAGAUCCAGUGCCACAUUCCCUUUUCCUGCUUGUUUAACCAAGGAAGUGCCCUCUGAGGCAGCCUGGAUCCCUGAGUAACCACUCGGAGCGGAGCCCUCACACCAGCACUGCCUGGAGUUGGAUGGCAUGUGUGGGGUGGACAGGACACAUCCGGUGAGUGAAGCCACCACCAAGUGGAGGUUGUUUGUUAUAGCAGCAUCACCUGCUCACCCACAGAUCACAGUCUGAUCUGCUACUGCACCUGGAUGCAUUAAUGUAAGAGGAGAGCAGGAUGGGGUCACUGCUGGCCUGUAGCUAAGCACUGUGCCCAGGCACUGGGAAUGGCAGCCACCAGGAGGGAUCUGUUCUGUGACUGCCAGAGGAAGGGCCAGUCUUAGCAUGGCUACUCCAGGCUGGCUCUUGGUUGAAAGUUAGAUGCUUUUAGAACCCCAAUUUACCCUUUCAGAUCGUUUGUAGACUGUCCUUACAUAUGUGAAGCACAGGCUGGAUUUCUGCUCACUGGUUCUGCAAACCUGCCUACAUACAAAUGGUAACUGAAGGGCCAUUCCUCACCAAAGACUUACCAGCAGUUUUAUAAACCGUCUUUGACUCUAAGUCAGUGGUUUUUUAAAGUGAGCCCUAAUGAAGCUAGAAGAGAGGGGCUGUGUUGGGGGAGACCUCAGAGUGCCGUGGGAGGAGCCCAGGUAAUUAUAUCCCAAAAUACAGUACCCUGGCAUGCAGUUUCUUUCACAUGGAAGGCCCUUGAAGGACAGCAGAUACUGAAGAGGCUUUUCUUGGAUACUCCCUUUUCUAUCUUAAAAGCCUAGGCUUGCCCACAAGAACACACUCACUUUCCAUCCCCCUCUCCAAAAUCUAGUAUAGAGAAGACUGAGGAAUGCAGCCACAUCUGGGCAGACUUAAAAAAUAUAAUGUCUGCCUCUCAGGUGCAAGUUCCAAAGAGAAUCAGUCCUUUACAACUUCUGUCUCCCAAGUCCAUUCAUUCUUUCCAGUCACCAUUUCUGAUCUCUCAAAAGCACUGUGUCCAUUCCCCACUCUCCCCUGUGAAGAAUGACACAGAAGCACCUGCACCCCACUCACGCAUGGGAAGGUAAAAUGUGUGUGUCUUUUUCUCCUUCUCCUCUCAAGCUGCUCUUUCGUCGGUUCCUUUGUUUAUUGGUUUUGUUUUUGUUUUUGUUUUUUCAGAUGGAGUCUUGCUCUGUCACCCAGGCUGUAGUGCAGUGGCACGAUCUCAGCUCACUGCAACCUCCACCUCUCAGGUUCAAGUGAUUCUCCUGCCUCAGCCUCCCGAGUAGCUGGGAUUAAAGGCACCUGCCACCACGCCCAGCUAAUUUUGUAUUUUUCAUAGAAACAGGGUUUCACCAUGUUGGCCAGGCUGGUCUUGAACUCCUGACUUCAGAUGAUCUGCCGGCCUCAGCCUCCUAAAGUGCUGGGAUUAUAGGUGUGAGCCACCAUGCCUAGGCUGUCAGUUCCUUUUUUAAUAAAUCUUCAGAGAGUAGAGGGGAAGCUGUCCCCCUUCGCUUCCACAGCAUCUUCCACAGAACUCGCCCCUUUUUUUAAACUUCUUUAUUCAUAAAAUUUCAUUCCAAAAAAAGCUUAUCAUGACUAGACCAGGCUCUGAGCACUGCUGUCUAGUGUGUGCUGGCACUGUACCCGUGGUGUGAACCAGAAAGCUGAGACUACAGGGCCAGCUUUCAAGGGGUGAAACUCAGCCCACAGCUAGGACUAGGGAACAGAAAGGUACAGAUGAAAUGGAAGUAAUAAACCUUAGUCUACACAAUGGUCUAAAUACAUUUAUAAUGACGAUAAGCAUGAUUUUUUUUUCUUAGAGACAGGAUCUUACUCUGUUGCCCAGGCUAGAGUGCAGUGGUGCAAUCACUGCUCACUGUAACCUCCAACUCCUGGGCCCAAGAUAACUUGCCUCAGCCUCCUGAGUAGCUGAGACUCCAGACACAUACCACCAUGCCAGGCUAAUUUUCUUUAUUUUUAUUUUUUUGUAGAGAUAGGGUCUGUUGUCCAGGCUGGUCUCAAACUCCUGGAUUCAAGCGAUCUUCCCACCUAGACCUUCUAAAGUGCCGGGAUUAUAGCGUUCUCACUAGAGAGAUAUUGGGACAACAUACAGAAGCAGUCCUGCUGGUGGAUCAAGUUUGUACAGACUGAUGGAACUGCCACUAGAAUUUGCUGGGCAAAAGAAAUGCAGUGGAUGGGAGACACACUGAAAGAAUGGAGGACAGACAAAAUCACCCGAGAACGAUGGUUUCCAGAAGUAGGGUAAGUGGAAUGGUGAAUUUCCUGAGCACAGUGAACAUCGGCAGGCUGCCAGGAAAAGAGCAAAGUAUGUCAGACUCCAGGGUUGGUUGAUUGGUUUUUUCUUUUACAUGCUAUAUAUUUUUAAUUAAGCUUAUUAAUUUUCCAAAUUAAUUUUCACAUUUACCAUCAACAAAUCACAUUGAAUAACAAAAAAAUACAUGGAGAUUAAUUUCAUACCACUUUCACUUAGCAAUUUAUUUAUUUUUUAUUUUUGGUGACAGAGUCUCACUCUUGCCCAGCCUACAGUGCAGUGGCGCAAUCUUGGCUCAUUGCAACCUCUGCCUUCUGGGUUUAAGCAAUUCUCCUGCCAGGCUGGUCUGAAACUCCUGACCAAAGGUAACCCACCUGACUCAGCUUCCCAAAGUGCUGAGAUUACAGGUGUGAGCCACCGCACCCAGUCUUCACUUGGCAAUUUAAGACACCAUAUUGUCCAACCACCCUAAAGGUUGUGCUGAAACUACUUCACAAUGUGAACUGAUACAUCGUUUGACAAAUCAGGUCAGGCGUAUGCAUCAGCAAUCGUUAAAUGGUCCUGACCAGCUGGGAGUGGUGGCUCUCUCCUAUAAUCCCAGCACUUUGGGAGGCCAAGACAGGUGGAUCAUUUGAGGUCAGGAGUUCAAGACCACCGUGGCCAACAUGGUGAAACCCCAUCUGUACUAAAAGUACCAAAACUAGCUGGGUGUGGUGGUGGGCACUUGCAGUCCCAGCUACUUGGGAGGCUGAGGCAGGAGAAUCGCUUGAACCUGGGAGACAGAGGUUACAGUGAGCCAAGAUCGCACCACUGCACUCCAGCCUGGGCAACAGAGCGAGACUCUGUCUCAAAAAAAAAGGUCUGACCUUGCACCUAAUUACUUCUUGUUGAGAAACUUACUCUUUUUUUUUUUGAGACGGAGUUUCGCUCUUGUUACCCAGGCUGGAGUGCAAUGGCGCGAUCUCGGCUCACGACAACCUCCGCCUCCUGGGUUCAGGCAAUUCUCCUGCCUCAGCCUCCUGAGUAGCUGGGAUUACAGGCACGCGCCACCACGCCCAGCUAAUUUUUUGUAUUUUUAGUAGAGAGAGGGUUUCACCAUGUUGACCGGGAUGGUCUCGAUCUCUUGACCUCAUGAUCCACCCACCUCGGCCUCCCAAAGUGCUGGGAUUACAGGCUUGAGCCACCGUGCCCGGCUGUUGAGAAACUUAUUCUAAGGGAAUAAUCUAAAGAAAGAAAAAACACACAUGCAUAAAUGGGUUCACUGCAGUGUCUGUGGGAAAAACAUAAAUGUCAGACAGCAUCACAAUGGUUAAAUAAACUAGGAUACGUACUUGAGGGAACAUGACAUUAUAACUCUAUAAUACAAAUACUACUGGAAAAUGAAUAUUAAAUAAAACAAAUGGAUACAAAAUCAUGUAGGGUCUACAACUGUUACAAGAUACAUUCUGUAUAUGGAAAAAGGCUGCAAAUGAUUAUUUAUUUAUUUAGAGAUAAAGUCUCACUCUGUCCCCCAGGCUGUGCAGUGCAGUGGCAUGAUCUCAGCUCACUGCAAUCUCCACCUCCCAGGUUCAAGCGAUUCUCCUGCCUCAGCUUCCCAAGUAGCUGGAAUUACAGGCACCCACUACCACACUCGGCUAAUUUUUAUAUUUUUAGUAGAGACAGGGUUUCGACACAUUGGCCAGGCUGGUCUUGAACUCCUGAUCUCAGGUGAUCCACCGUCUUGGCCACCCAAAGUGCUAGGAUUACAGGAGUGAGCCACCACGCUAGGCUGAAAAUGAGUAUUUAAAAUUGUGUGUUAAAGGGUAGAAUUAUGGGUGAUUUUCUUUCCCAAAUUUUAUGUAAUGAGGCUAUAUAUAAAUAUAUAAAAUAUAUUCUUAUGAACCUCUCACCCACUCCUAACACCCAGAGAUUCCAGGAUGCAGCUCAAUGCAUAGUCAACAGACUGCCAGGGCUGAAAUAGCCCAUCUCCACCUGCUUCCAGAUGCGACCCUGAGCGGCCAAUGAGCUAGAGAAAGAAAGUCAGAGCUGGAACAGCAGCACAGGGGAGAGCAGCAGCUCAGCCAACCUGAUCCAGCACCAGCUUCACAUUAUCAACCACACUGCAUCCAGAGAGCAGCUAAAAAAGAAUGUUCAGGAAUUUUAUAUUCACACCUAAAGAUGUCUUAUGAAACUGCCUGGACCUACAUUUUUUAAAGCUGCAACAACAACAAAACUUUCUAUAUUUUCAAUUAAGUCCAAAAAGUAUUUUAGAUUAUGCCUUUUAAAAGCAAAUAAGGUAUACUUAAUGGUUAAAACGUCUUCCCCCUAAGAUCAGGAACAAGACUAGGAUGUUCACUCUCACCAUUGUAUCUAUUCAACACUCUACUUGAGGUUUUGAUAGUGCAAUUAGAUAAAACAAACAUCUCAUUUGGAAAGGAAGAACUAAAGCUAUCUGUAUUUUCAGAGAACAUCUUAUAUACAGAAAAUCCUAAGGGAUCCACUUAAAAAUUAUUAGAACUAUGAUAAGUGAAUCAAGCAUAUGUGCAGGAAACAAAACUAAUAUACAAAAGUCAACUCUAUAUAUACACUAGCAAUGAGUAAUCCAAAAUGAAAUUAGGCCAGGCACAGUGGCUCAUGCCUGUAAUCCCAACCCUUUGGGAGGCCGAGCGUGACUUGAGGUUAGGAGUUUGAGACCGGCCUAGCCAACAUGGUGAAACCCCACCAAUAUGAAAAAUACAAAAGAUUAGCUGGGCUUAGUGAUGCAUGCCUGUAAUCCUAGUUACUCAGACGGCUAAGGUAGGAGAAUUGCUUGAACCUGGGAGGUAGAGGUUGCAGUAAGCCAAGUGAUCACACCACUGCACUCCAACCUGGGUGACAGAGACUCCAUCUCAAAAAAAAAAAAAAAGGAAGUUAGCAAAACAAUUUCAUCAACAAUAGCAUCAAAAGCAUCAAAAAGAAUACAAUUCUUAGAAACAAUUUUAACCAAAAGAAGUGUAAGACUUGUGUGGGGAAAACUACAAAACAUUGUUUAAAAAAAUUAAAGAAGCUGGGCCAGGCGCGGUGGCUCAAGCCUGUAAUUCCAGCACUUUGGGAGGCCAAGGCGGGUGGAUCACAAGGUCAAGUGAUCGAGACCAUCCUGGUCAACAUGGUGAAACCCGUCUGUACUAAAAAUACAAAAAAAUUAGCUGGGCGUGGUGGCACAUGCCUGUAGUCCCAGCUACUCAGGAGGCUGAGGCAGGAGAAUUGCCUGAACCCAGGAAGCGGAGGUUGCGGUGAGCCGAGAUCGAGCCAUUGCACUCCAGCCUGGGUAACAAGAGCGAAACUCCAUCUCAAAAAAAAAAAAAUUAAAGAAGCCAAGUACGGUGGUUCAUGCCUAUAAUCCCAGCACUUUGAGAGGCUGAAGUGGAAGAACUGCUUGAAGCCAGAUGAUCGAGACUGGCCUGGGCAACAGAGGAAGCACCUGUCUCAAACCAGAGUUCUCAUGAAAGUUGAUAGAGGAGCCUGAUAGCAGCCCCACCCCCUUGCCACGGGAUCUUUGCACACACUGGCUUCCCUUCCCCUUCUCCCAGGAGUGGAAGCAGCCUGAGGCCCUCACCAGUUGCAAAUGCUGGUGCCAUGCUUCUUGCACAGCCAGCACAACUGAAGCACAGGAACCUUUUUUUCUUGAUAAAUUACCCAGCCUCAGGUAGUCCUUUACAGCAACACUAACAAACUAAGUCACAGAUUCAACACAAUCCCUAUCAAAUCUUAGCUGGCUUUAUCUAUCUAUCUAUCUAUAUAUAUAUAUUUUUUUUUUUUUUUGCAGAAAUUAACAAGCUAAUUUUAAGAUUAAUAAGGAAAUGCAAGGGAAUCAAAAAAUCAAAACUAUCUUGAAAAAGAACAAAGUUGGUGCACUCAUAUUUUCCAUGUCAAAAUUUAAUACAAAGUUACAGCAAUCAAAACUAGCUAGUACCAGUUUAAAGAUAUAUAAAUAUUUAUGGCUGGGCAUGGUGGCUCAUGCCAAUAAUCCCAGCAGUUUAGGAGGCUGAGGCAGGCAGAUCCUUGGGGCCCAGGACUUCAAGACCAGCCUGGGCAACAUGGUGAAACACUGUCUCUACAAAAAGUAAAAAAAAUGAUUAGCCAGGUGUAGUGGUGUGCACCUGUGGUCUCAGCUACUUGGGAGGCUGAGGUGGGAGGAUCGCGUGAGCCUGGAAGGUCAAGGCUGUAGUGAGUGGUGACUGCUACCACACUCCAGCCUGGGUAACAGAUCAAGAUCCUGUCUCAAGAAAAUAAUAAAGAUAGAUAUGCAAUCAAUAGAACAGAAUUGAGAGUCAAGAAAUACACCCCUUUUUUUUUUUUUUUUUUUUUGAG